ACCUCUUUUAGAAAGACCUAGCAUCUAGCAUAAGCUGCAAUUUCAUGGACGCUAGAAACCAGCGGCAGCGUCAAAGCAAAGCUGUCUGCUGUCAGCUGUGGUUGUGUUGUGGUGAGACUGGUGAGUAACGAAACGCAACUCGAGUGAUGUCAUCCGGGAGUUGCCAUUCUCCUAAUCAGUGAAGAGGUUAUGCUAUCGUCGUCAGAAGCAAGGAAGACAAGAGAAACGUAGCUGGUGGCAAGUACAACUGGAAACACAUCAAGGAUGUUCUCAAGCGGGCCAAACUAUACCAAGUUGAAGACGCAUUUGCGUCUAGCGAUCAACCGGUUGAAAUUGCUGGAAAA